AACCGCUGUAGCAUUGUCCUGGGAAGCAAAGUGCAUGGCCUGGUCAGUGACAAAGCCUGCUGCCUCAGCUGGUGAACUGCAGCUGUUGAUGGCAUCCACAAUCUCCUGGUCCGACAUGGCACAAUUCACACCAUCAGUGGGGCUCUCCCAAAGGUUGGUGGUGCUGUUAUUAAUGACUACUACAAGUUCAUCAUACGCAAUACUGCACAUAAUGUACGUACUGUGAUGAAGAAGACGUACAACAUGCUUUGAAGAUUAUGCACACCACAGACAGCAGCAGCAUCGUGAUCCCUCCGCGAAAGAUGACGCCGAAGUUACGGUUCAGAGCGCUGCCCGACGUAACUGUUUAGCUGCCCGUUCCGUACCAGUACAUCUGAAGGAUCUACAUCUACGCCAGUUCCAGUAAACCUCCUUUCAGUACAAUUUAUUAUGUGCCAUCUGUUAAAACAAGUUUCUCAUACACAUUAUUGGUGUAAGGUACAGCAGUGGCGUGUUAAUGAGCAACUACAGGGUGCAUGAAAGAUAGAUAACACAGACCUCCUCAACUGUAAUGUGCAUUCAGUAUAUCAUGGACGUCUACUUUGGUUUAAAUUCAAACGUAAUGCAAGUUUCUUUUCUAAAUAAUCAAAAAUAAACUAGUCUAGGUCCUUUGUUACAAAGAGGGCAUCUAGACUAAAAAAUCCAAGGACACCUAA